UGGACUCUCUGGAGAAAGCGGUAAGAUCAGAUUCUCCAGCUUGCUGGCUCUCCACCCCCUCCCGGCACGCCAUGCCCCCAGAUCUACAGUGGGGAAGUACAGUAAUGAGAUCCCCACCCAACCCCGCCCGCAGGAAUGCAUCAACAGCUGGCCAAACAUAAUCCAACACACAGAGCUGCCUUUGUAGAAAUAGUAACAAACAGUGGAAAGGCCAGACAGGCGUCCCAGAAGAGCUCCCCAUGACAACUGGGAAAACUCCUCCUCCCCAGGUUUGAGCGGACUCCACGGAGCUGGGGUCAGACCAGCACGGCUCACUCAUCUGAGUCCAAAACCAGCCUCAAGCACCUCCCCCAAACUCCGCGGAGGCGACUCCGAGGUCACUCGCCUCUCUACACUGCAAGUUGGAUGCACGCUUCCUCCACGCGGACUGUGGCCGCUCUAAACGCCGCAUGUCACGCGCCCUUCGGAACGCAGCGCCACCGACUCCCAAAUCUCACCAACAGCAUCCCGCACCUGUGCCUUAACCGUGUAGCUGGGAGCUGGGAGGACCGCUACUCUUCCUUAGAAAAGGUUUUUUUUUGUUUUUUUUUUUUUUUUUUAAUUAUACGCUGAUCCUGGAAUUCUAAAACAUGUAAAUAGAACACCGCAUUCGUGUCUAUCGAACGUUUUAGCAUCUGAAGCCUGUGGUAGCCAGCUGGUCCCGAAGUCAUCUGGGAUACAUUUAUUUUGAUUAAAUUGAUCAGAUUUCUAUUUACAGGAUAGAAUCUUUUCCCCAUACUGAAUACAGCUGUGUUUACAGGGAUUUGGAGGAGAAGAAGAAAACAAAACCCCGCAAUCAGCCCUAGCAAAGCGCAGAGCACUCAGAGCUCCAAGGAGUUAACGCUGAGGGGUCUUGCUUUCACAUUAACAAGAAAAUUCUGCAUGCAGCUGCUUUGGCCAUCGUCUCUAGCUAGUCAGGAAAUGGGUGUUGAGCUGAAGCUGAAAAUACAAGCUGCAAUCAAGCCCGGUCCAGCCAAGUGACAGACUUCCUGUGUAAAAUGGUCAGAAAUCUUUCUUUUCAUGUCUCUACAUGCAUGCACAUGCAUUUAAAGCCAUGCUGCUAGGCUGCGAUUCUCUCUGGGGACACGGUUCAGUCACCUAGCCCAUCAGUUUCUGCCUUGACAGCACAGGGGAUGGCCAGACUACAAUUUACAGUUCCUCCAUCCAUGUGCCGGGUUAUAAAUUAUGCCCUCCUCUCUAGAACGGGAAUGCAGACCAAGCGGCAGACGACCAAGCGGCAUCCGGCACCUCCUCUUGCCUUUCACGCGCUCCCCUCACUGCCUCUCUCCAGCUCUGCCUCGCCGGGCAGACGCAGCCGAUACCUGGUUCAUCCAUCUUCGGCUCUACUCAGAACGUUUGGCGGCCUGUCACCCAACGAAUCCUACUCAGCCACCAUAUCGGUGACAUCCAGAACCCUUCCACACAUGGUCUGUGCGUGGCCCCUUUGUAUCACCACCUUCCUCUGCUACCAGUGAAGACACCUUGUUACCCGACUAUACAUUAUCGGUUUUGUAUAGACUACUCCGUUCCUGAGCAUCCAAACACGUCACCCAUUGAAUCAGGGAAAAUGUACUAAUUUGGGCCUACCGCUGUUAAUAACGAGGCAAAAAGCACUGGAAAGGAAGCAAAGCCCCAUGAGGCACUCCCCUUGCCCUCAGAGAACAUAUCGUCUGUGGAAUCUGUGGUAUGUAUUCUAUGGGUCCUAACCAUGCACUAUCUUGCACUGCCAGCUACCUGUUCAAAUUUGAGUUCCUUUAAAAAAAUAAUAAAAAUAGUGUGAAUCUGCCCGCUAAAUGAGCAUCAGGUAAGUAGGGCCAGAGAAAGGAAAGAUGACCUCUACCUAGAUGCUGGGAAGGGACCGCAGAGAACCCCGAGAUGUGCCGUGAGCCGUGAGAUGUCUGGAGGGGUGCAGUUGAGGCGUGGGUCCAAACAGACACUGCAAGACCGAUCACGCAAGCGCGUCUCCUGCACACGUUUUACAUACGUGAACCCACUUCAUCUUAACAAUCCUAGGAGGGAUGUGUUGCUCUUUUCAGUGAUCUAGAACAGAAACACCAAAGAGAAAGGAAGGAAGUCGUCCAGGACCGCACAGGGAGGGAGUGGCUGGUCUGGGCCCUGAGCACACCGUCUUCGCCCCCUUGCCGGACUCGGCACUGGAUGAACGGUGGGAGGGAAACCAGCCUGGUGAGAAGACACAGCCAAGGCGCAGGGUGCCCGAAAGGAUCGAUUCGGUGCAAGGAGGCUGUUAGUUUUCGUAGCAGUGGGACUGUCCUGAGAACAAGCCAAGAGAACAACCCAGUCGUAGGACACGGGGCCGGGUAUAGCCACAGGUGAGACGGAAAGGGGACGGGGGAGCUUGGGUAGAAGGAGAAUAAUAAAGAGUUUCCCGCAAUAGAAUCACUAUAUGGGGACAGUGCCCGAACUCUGACAGCGGCCAAAGAAAAAUCGAGAUGGAUUCUGGAGGCUUUAUGGAGAAAGAAAUGACGUUGCCGAAGUGCUCGCGGAGAACGAGGAGAACGAUGGUGGCCACGCUGACUGCACGUGUUUUUAAGCCUGGCCAGAGAAAGGAGCAGGUCCCUGUGUGCAGGAGCCGUGUCAUUAAUCUGUUUCCCCAGUAGCGAGCACAACGCUGGAUGCGUUUUUACAAAAUGAUGAAUGAGCAAAUGAAAGUCACAGAGGUAGAAAUGGGAAAAUCAGAAGCAGUGCUCCGCAUGGGAAAAAACUCUACAGAGAACUCCGUGUUUCAUAGGACAUGCACGGGGCAAGGUCCAUCAUGAGAUUCCAUACAGAGAGGUGGACUUUAUUUUCUCCUACCGCCGUUGGCCCAGAUUUUCGAGGGCACGUUCCCCCACCACACGCCUCAGAUCUACUUUUUGGGCCCCCUUAGAUGAGGCGGCGCUCCCUCCGGCCUCUCCGGCCACCCCCAUCUUUGCCCACCAGCCGCACACCGAUGUCAUCCACGGCUAGCUCGUGAUACAGAUGCCACACACACCAAGGCAAGAAAAUACGUGUGUGAACAUAUUUUACCAUUCUCUUAUUUAUUUUUUUUUUAUGUAGCAAAGGGAAAAAACAAAGGGAAGUUGAUCAGCCUUCUCACACAAUCUUAGCUAACCAGAAUACUAAAUUAACGAACGUACCUCAUUUCGUAGGCAGUUAAUGGAGGUUAAUAUGACAUACUGCCUCUGGCUCUGCAAGUAAAAAAGGGUGUUAUUGCCUCAUAUUAUAGCUGGGGAAAAAAAAGUGUUAAUAAUCUUUCUCAUCAGCAGUAAAGAAUUGGGCUUUUAAUACCUAGAUAUAUUUUAGUAAAAGGCUAGUAUAUCAUCUCUAAGUGGAGUUCAAGAGCAAUGUUAGAUAGAACUAGGGCAUUUCAAGAGCCUGCUUACACUAGAGACAAAAAAAAAAAAAAAAGAAAGGAAAGGAAAGAGAAGAAAAGAAAAGAAAAAUAAAUUACAUCCAACGUCAAAUUUAUUGCUGCAUUCUUGAAGGAAAAAUAUUUUUAAAAAAUGGCGAAUUUAUGCUGGACAUGUUUUUAUUUGUAUUGCUUCAGAUCACUUCUAAUAAUUAAUCCUUAAAUGUUAAAAAAAAAAACCUUGGAUCUUGCAAAUGAGUGAUUUU